rnacentral:miRNA from 1 species
GAAAAAUUCCCGACUGCAUGCAAUACUGUAGUCUGUUUAAUAGUUUUUAAUCUAUUAAACAGACUACAGUAUUGCAUGCAGUCGGGAAUUUU